UUGCGUUUUGGCCCCCGGAAUCCUCUGUUCUCUCUCCUCCCUACGCGGCCGAACCGCUCGACCCGACCCGGACCCAUCUCCGGCCUCCGGCGUCCUCCGGCCACGACCCGACCCUCCUUGUGAUCGCCGCAAGCCGCCCAGUCGCCUGGUGCCGCUGCCUUGCACCGCCGUCGUCCCCAGACCUAGAUCGAAGCCCCCCGAAGCUAAAACUCGACCCGACCGGAUUUCCAGUUUUCCGGCAUCACCUCGGCCGAUCCUUCCCAUUUUCGUGAUCUCCUCCUCCCCCUGAUCAUCCUCAUAUCCUCCUUGCACGACGAUUUUGAGUGUAGAGUGAAGGAUCACGAAUUGAAGAUUCGACGUCCCUGAUUCAAUCUGGAAAUCUGAUCAGACGGGUCAGAUUAAUCCAACUUCCAAGCAUGAUCUAGGACGAUCUAGGCCGAACCAGACUUAGCUCCAGGUGAUUGACGGUCUCCCUUGGGUGAGCGAUUUCGGUGUGUAUUGUGUUAAAUUGAAGACGCAGCGGGAAUAUCGAGCGGAUAAUCCUGCAGGUCAGGCAAAUCGUGACGGAGGUCGAGCUAGUUAAGGGUUGCAGCAUUAUUUUAUUCCCUGCUAUUGUGAGGUUGUUAUGCUCAUCUGAGCUUACAUUAUAUUUGGAGAGAGUGUACUGUAAUAAAUAAUCUCCUUGAGAAUUUGGUUAUGUAAUAUUGAGUGGUGUGAGGUGUGGGAUUAUGAAAAAAAUUCUAGUUGAUAUUUAAGUAAGUUGUGUAAUUCACGUUUCGGAUUUUAAUUUGUUAUUUAAAAU